AUGUUUCCAUUAGUUGUAUUCUAAUUAUAGACCUUGACAAAAAAAGCAAAAAGAAGACCCAGCAGAGCCAAGCCCACGGACAUCCUCAGCGCACAGUCUUGAUGUAGCCUUGGCAUGGGCAGCACCAUUCUGGAACUCGCUGAGUCACACUGAGAUGCAGCAGAGGUGUGGGAUCCUGAACUCAGCUGGUUCCCAAGCCCAUUUCUGAAGUCCUAUAAAGAGAGAAACAGAGGAAAAAAUUAUUUUUAGAUGCAGAGAAAGCCCUGUUGUGAUAUCAAUCAAGCAAUGGGUUCCAGAAGGUGCCGCCUUUUAUGUACUCCUUCAACAGAGACACGUUUGAACACCCACCAUGGGCCAGGUGGCCCCAAGCCUCAAGAUCUCAAGGACAGCACUCACAUAUAUGUGGGAACCUGGAGAAAGAAUGCAGAGUCCUUCAGCUGAAUUGAUUGAUAGGAACUAUGUGAGUUCCUCAAAAGCAGCGAGUCUGCCUAAUUCAUCUCUGAAAUCUUGGAACCUAGCAGGCUGCAGUCACAGAGCAGGUACUCAGUAAGUGUUUAGGAAUGAAUGAAUGAAUGACUGAUCGAGUGAAUAAUAUGAGAGUGUGUAUUCCAAUGAGAUGAGCAACCAUCAAGAACAUUCUCAUCUAUGUCUCUGGUGAUCAAUGUGUCCUGUGAUACAUUCAGGAAGCUAUUCUACUUGAGUCACAAAUUGUUGCCUCUAGCAAUUAAACCAUCACUUUAUAAGUGUGGUGUUAUAAGACCAGAAUUAAGAGGUUGAUUAAUUUCUCCGAGGCCUGAGUUCUUUAACCUUUGUAAGUCAUAGAUGGCUUUGAGAAGACUACACAGACCCUUCCAGAAAAAUAUGGAAGCACAUUUACAUAUCCACACAGCCUCGCUCACACUCUUGUCUUCAGGAGGUUCACAGAUACCUUCACCCAGGAGUGGACCCAGAUUUUGUGGGUCCUGAAGCCUUCUCUUUAAGAAAAAAAUAAUGAAUACAAAAUUAGGUACAGGGUCUUGGAAGGGGCCCCUCAAAUUGAGAGACCCCGAAACUGGCUACACGAGCUUCAGGGAAAAUCCACCCUUUUCCCUAUCCCCAGUUCAGAAUGCUUGACCUUGGUUCUGAACCUGUGCCAUGAUUAGUGGUGCCAGGCCAGGUGUCAGGCUGACCUGGGGAAGGACUAGGUGAGUCUUAAAAUCUUAAGCAUUUAGUUGGGUUGAUAACACGUUUUGUUUUUUGUUUCAUGAAGCAGUGCAGGUACUGCGCCUUCUUGGCCUGGGUUAAAAUAAAAGCAAAACUCUUUGACUUCUGAUGACAAUUUCAGAAAAUUUCUUCUCCUUUCAACUCAUCUGCCAUAAAAUUUUGUUCAAAAUAAAGUUACCUACUGAACUA
rnacentral:lncRNA from 1 species